UACAGAGGGUGCGAGCGUUGUUCGGAAUUACUGGGCGUAAAGCGCGCGCAGGCGGCCCUUUAAGUCCGUCGGUCAAAUGCCGGGGCUCAACCCCGAUGCAUGCCGAGGAUACUGGAGGGCUGGAGACACGUAGAGGCAAGCGGAAUUCCGGGUGUAGCGGUGGAAUGCGUAGAGAUCCGGAAGAACACCGGAGGCGAAGGCGGCUUGCUGGGCGUGAUCUGACGCUGAGGAGCGAAAGCAUGGGGAGCGAACAGG
rnacentral:rRNA from 1 species